AAAAAAAAAAAAAGCAAUGGAAUCUUGAAAUUCACAGGCAAAUGGAUGGAACUAGAAGAAACCAUUCUGAGUGAGGUAACCCAGUCACAAAAAAAAAAAAAAAACAUAGUAUGUACUCACUCAUAUAUGAAUUUUAGACAUAGAUCAAAGGAUUACCAUCCUAUAAUCCUUUUCACCAAAGAAACUAGGAAACAUGAAGGACUCUAAGGGAAAAAAGCAUGGACCCCCGGAAUGGGAAGGGGCAGGAACUCAUGACCUAAAUUGGGAGCAUGAGGGUAGGUGAGAGGGAGCUACCAGAAUGAGAGCAGGAGAAGAGGAGUGGAGGAGAGGAAAUGGAGGAGCAGAAAUAUUGAGUUGGGGGAAGAAUAGAGGAGAGAGAGCAGGAUGAGAGAUACCAUAUUAGAGGAAACCACUAUAGGACCGAGGAGAGAUCUGGCACUAGGGAGAUUUCCAGAGACCUACAAGGAUGACAUGACCUGACAAUCCAGGAAAUGGUGGAAAGAAUAUCCUAAGUGCCCUUCCCCUAAAAUGAGAUUGAUGACUUCUCUUUAUGCCAUCCUAGAGCCCUCAUCCAGUGGCUGAUGGAAGCAGAGACAGACAUCCACAGAUAUCACUCAGCUGAAAUCUGGUACUUUGUUGAAGAGAGGGAGAAAUGAAGAUUGAAGGGGAAAAAUAGACAUACUUCAGGCUUCAUGAAUGGGGUGACCUACGUGGAACUGCAAGCACAAAUUAUUUCACUAGACAUUUUGCUGUAAUGUUUCAGUGCUAACCAAAGUCAUCCUUCUGUGGUCAGUUAGCAAUUCUACUGCUGACUUUCAGGCUCAGAAUGCAGAAAUGAAAAUGGGGACAAAACAGACACUGAGGAAAUCCAAG
rnacentral:lncRNA from 1 species